AUUGAACGCUGGCGGCAGGCCUAACACAUGCAAGUCGAGCGGAUGAAGGGAGCUUGCUCCUGGAUUCAGCGGCGGACGGGUGAGUAAUGCCUAGGAAUCUGCCUUGUAGUGGGGGAUAACGUCCGGAAACGGGCGCUAAUACCGCAUACGUCCUGAGGGAGAAAGUGGGGGAUCUUCGGACCUCACGCUAUCAGAUGAGCCUAGGUCGGAUUAGCUAGUUGGUGGGGUAAAGGCCUACCAAGGCGACGAUCCGUAACUGGUCUGAGAGGGUGAUCAGUCACACUGGAACUGAGACACGGUCCAGACUCCUACGGGAGGCAGCAGUGGGGAAUAUUGGACGAUGGGCGAAAGCCUGAUCCAGCCAUGCCGCGUGUGUGAAGAAGGUCUUCGGAUUGUAAAGCACUUUAAGUUGGGAGGAAGGGCAGUAAGUUAAUACCUUGCUGUUUUGACGUUACCAACAGAAUAAGCACCGGCUAACUUCGUG
rnacentral:rRNA from 1 species